rnacentral:rRNA from 1 species
GACGAACGCUGGCGGCAUGCCUAACACAUGCAAGUCGAGCGAGCAGAUCCCUUCGGGGUGAAGCUAGCGGCGGACGGGUGAGUAACACGUGGGCAACCUGCCUCAUAGAGGGGAAUAGCCUUCCGAAAGGAAGAUUAAUACCGCAUAAGAUCGCGGCUUCGCAUGAAGCAGCAAUUAAAGGAGCAAUCCGCUAUGAGAUGGGCCCGCGGCGCAUUAGCUAGUUGGUGAGGUAACGGCUCACCAAGGCGACGAUGCGUAGCCGACCUGAGAGGGUGAUCGGCCACAUUGGGGCUGAGACACGGCCCAGACUCCUACGGGAGGCAGCAGUGGGGAAUAUUGCACAAUGGGGGAAACCCUGAUGCAGCAAUGCCGCGUGAGUGAUGACGGCCUUCGGGUUGUAAAGCUCUGUCUUCGGGGACGAUAAUGACGGUACCCGAGGAGGAAGCCACGGCUAACUACGUGCCAGCCGCCGCCGUAA